rnacentral:rRNA from 1 species
AUGAACGCUGGCGGCGUGCCUAAUACAUGCAAGUCGCGCGAACAGACGAGGAGCUUGCUCCUCUGACGUUAGCGGCGGACGGGUGAGUAACACGUGGAUAACCUACCUAUAAGACUGGGAUAACUUUGGGAAACCGGAGCUAAUACCGGAUAAUAUAUUGAACCGCAUGGUUCCAUAGUGAAAUACGGUUUUGCUGUCACUUAUAGAUGGAUCCGCGCCGCAUUAGCUAGUUGGUAAGGUAACGGCUUACCAAGGCGACGAUGCGUAGCCGACCUGAGAGGGUGAUCGGCCACACUGGAACUGAGACACGGUCCAGACUCCUACGGGAGGCAGCAGUAGGGAAUCUUCCGCAAUGGGCGAAAGCCUGACGGAGCAACGCCGCGUGAGUGAUGAAGGUCUUCGGAUCGUAAAACUCUGUUAUUAGGGAAGAACAAAUGUGUAAGUAACUAUGCACGUCUUGACGGUACCUAAUCAGAAAGCCACGGCUAACUACGUG